UGUGCAGGUGGAACUCACCUGGUGUGAUCUUCACCAUCUAAAAAAGGGUGUUUGGGGGGUUUUUCCUCAAUUCUGACAUUCUGGUUCCACUGGGGGUGAAUCUCUUUUUUUAUUCCUGAUCUGGGCUGUUCUGUGCCAGCUAGAACUGCCUGAGGUUUAGGUCACAUUGACCUCAAGGCAAAAUCUCCCUGAGUCAGGGAAUUCUUCAUGGAUUGCACUUAACAUCUUCCCUUUCAUAGAAAUUGGGGGGGUUUAUCCUCAGUUUUGUGGUUCUGGUUCCACUGGGGGUGAAUCUCUUUUUUAUUCCUGCUCUGGGCUGUUCUCCCCCAGGAAGAGCUGCCUGAGCUUAGGUCACACUGACCCCUGUGUCAGGGAAUUCCUCAUGGAUUGCACUUAACAUCUCCCCUUUCAUGGGAAAUGGGGGGUUUAUCCUCAAUUUGGAGCUUCUGAGGUUUAUCAUCAAUUCUGAGGGGGGUGAAUCUCCUUUUUAUUCCUGCUCUGGUUUGUUCUCCCCCAGGAAAAGCUGCCUGAGCUUGGACCUUCAGGUCACACUGACCUCGAGGCAAAAUCUCCCUGUGUCAGGGAAUUCCUCCCCUUUCAUGGGAAUUGGGGGGUUUAGCAUCAGUUUUGAGGUCCUGGUUCCACUGGGGGUGAAUCUCUUUUUUUAUUCCUGUUCUGGGCUGUUCUCUGCCAGCUAGAACUGCCUGAGGUUCAGGUCACACUGACCUCAAGGCAAAAUCUCCCUGAGUCAGGGAAUUCCUCAUGGAUUGCACUUAACAUCUUCCCUUUCACAGGAAUUGUGGGGGUUUAUCCUCAGUUUUGAGGUCCUGGUUCCACUGAGGGUGAAUCUCCUUUUUUAUUCCUGUUCUGGGUUGUUCUCCCCCAGGAAGAGCUGCCUGAGCUUCAGGUCACACUGACCCCUGUGUCAGGGAAUUCCUCCUCUUGGAUUGCACUUAACAUCUCCCCUUUCACAGGAAUCGAGGGCGU
rnacentral:lncRNA from 1 species